rnacentral:rRNA from 1 species
UACGUAGGGGGCAAGCGUUGUCCGGAAUCAUUGGGCGUAAAGCGCGUGUAGGCGGCUCGGUAAGUCCGCUCUGAAAGUCCGGGGCUCAACCCCGGGAGGCGGGUGGAUACUGUCGAGCUCGAGUCCGGAAGAGGCGAGUGGAAUUCCUGGUGUAGCGGUGAAAUGCGCAGAUAUCAGGAGGAACACCGAUGGCGAAGGCAGCUCGCUGGGACGUGACUGACGCUGAGACGCGAAAGCGUGGGGAGCAAACGGG